rnacentral:rRNA from 1 species
AGCCCUUUAGUUUGAAACCCCGAAACCAGGUGAGCUACCCCGAGACCGCCUAUUUAAAUUUAGGGCUAACCCGUCUCUGUGGCAAAAGAGUGGGAAGAGCUCCGGGUAGAAGUGAUAGACCUACCGAACCUGGUGAUAGCUGGUUGCCUGAGAAAUGGAUAGAAGUUCAGCCUCGUACACCCCUAAUCGAGUAUAUAUUAUUAAGAUACUAGGGAAACAUACGAGAGUUAGUUGAAGGGGGUACAGCCCCUUUAACAAAGGAUACAACCUUCACAGGAGGAUAAAGAUCAUAAUAUAUAUAAAAUAUACUGUUUUAGUGGGCCUAAAAGCAGCCAUCUAAACGGAAAGCGUUAAAGCUCGGACAGAAACAAAUUUAUUAUUCUGAUAAUAAAUCUUACUCCCCUAACACUAUCAGGCUAACCCAUGCAUCCAUGGAAGAAAUUAUGCUAAAAUGAGUAACAAGAAGACACGCUCUUCUCCAAGCACAAGUGUAAGCCAGAUCGGACCACCCGCUGGAAAUUAACGAACCCAACCCAAGAGAGUAAUGUGGCCAAUAAGGAAAUCAAGAAAACCCCACAACUACGUAAUCGUUAAUCCCACACUGGAGUGCUAUUUAUAGAGGAAAGACUAAAAGAAAGGGAAGGAACUCGGCAAACACAAGCCUCGCCUGUUUACCAAAAACAUCGCCUCCUGCAACCAAACUGAGUAUAGGAGGUCCAGCCUGCCCAGUGACUACGGGUUCAACGGCCGCGGUAUUUUGACCGUGCAAAGGUAGCGCAAUCACUUGUCUUUUAAAUAGAGACCUGUAUGAAUGGCUAAACGAGGGCUUAGCUGUCUCCCCCUUCCAGUCAGUGAAAUUGAUCUAUCCGUGCAGAAGCGGGUAUAAGACUACAAGACGAGAAGACCCUUUGGAGCUUAAGGUACAAAAUCCAACCACGUCAAGAAACUCAGUAAAAAGUAAGAACUCAGUGGAUCGUGGAAAUUUACCUUCGGUUGGGGCGACCACGGAGGAAAAACCAGCCUCCGAGUGGAAUGGGUUAAAUUCCUAAAACCAAGAGAAACACCUCUAAGCCACAGAACAUCUGACCAAUAAAUGAUCCGGCCUAUAAAGCCGAUCAACGAACCAAGUUACCCUAGGGAUAACAGCGCAAUCCUCUCCCAGAGUCCAUAUCGACGAGGGGGUUUACGACCUCGAUGUUGGAUCAGGACAUCCUAAUGGUGCAGCCG